rnacentral:rRNA from 1 species
GUUAGGAAUAUUGGACAAUGGGCGAAAGCCUGAUCCAGCCAUGCCGCGUGAACGAUGAAGGCCUUCGGGUUGUAAAGUUCUUUAGCCGAUGAUUAUAAUGACUGUAGUCGGAAAAUAAGCCCCGGCUAACUUCGUGCCAGCAGCCGCGGUAAUACGAAGGGGGCGAGCGUUAUUCGGAAUCACUGGGCGUAAAGCGUGCGUAGGCGGUUUUGUAAGUUAGGAGUGAAAGCCCAGGGCUCAACCUUGGAAUUGCUCUUAAAACUGCAAGGCUCGAAUCUCGGAGAGGAUAGCGGAAUUGUCAGUGUAGCAGUGAAAUGCGUAGAUAUUGACAGGAACACCAGUGGCGCAAGCGGCUAUCUGGACCGAUAUUGACGCUGAGGCACGAAAGCGUGGGGAGCAAACAGGAUUAGAUACCCGGGUAGUCU